rnacentral:tRNA from 1 species
GCUCAGAUAGCUUAACAUUUAGAGCAUAGCACUGAAGAUGCUAAGGUGGCGAUCCAACGCCUCAGAGCAC